CCCAUCUGACUGUCUACUACAUUUUCUUCUACUGGUAGAUUUUAGUGGCUGUGCUUAAGAUAUCAAGUAAAACUGUCUUGAUCUGAAGAGAGAAAAUUUCUUUGUGUCCUCACCCUACAUAAAUGGAUAAACAAAAAUAA